rnacentral:rRNA from 1 species
GGUGAGUAACACGUGAGCAAUCUGCCCCUGACUCUGGGAUAAGCGUUGGAAACGACGUCUAAUACCGGAUACGAGCCGAGCAGGCAUCUGCAUCGGUUGGAAAGAACUUCGGUCAGGGAUGAGCUCGCGGCCUAUCAGCUAGUUGGUGAGGUAAUGGCUCACCAAGGCGACGACGGGUAGCCGGCCUGAGAGGGUGACCGGCCACACUGGGACUGAGACACGGCCCAGACUCCUACGGGAGGCAGCAGUGGGGAAUAUUGCACAAUGGGCGCAAGCCUGAUGCAGCAACGCCGCGUGAGGGACGACGGCCUUCGGGUUGUAAACCUCUUUUAGCAGGGAAGAAGCGAGAGUGACGGUACCUGCAGAAAAAGCACCGGCUAACUACGUGCCAGCAGCCGCGGUAAUACGUAGGGUGCGAGCGUUAUCCGGAAUUAUUGGGCGUAAAGAGCUCGUAGGCGGUCUGUCGCGUCUGCUGUGAAAACCCGAGGCUCAACCUCGGGCUUGCAGUGGGUACGGGCAGACUAGAGUGCGGUAGGGGAGAUUGGAAUUCCUGGUGUAGCGGUGGAAUGCGCAGAUAUCAGGAGGAACACCGAUGGCGAAGGCAGAUCUCUGGGCCGUUACUGACGCUGAGGAGCGAAAGCGUGGGGAGCAAACAGGCUUAGAUACCCUGGUAGUCCACGCCGUAAACGUUGGGAACUAGAUGUGGGGACCAUUCCACGGUCUCCGUGUCG